rnacentral:rRNA from 1 species
GACGAACGCUGGCGGCGUGCUUAACACAUGCAAGUCGAACGGAAAGGCCCUGCUUUUGUGGGGUGCUCGAGUGGCGAACGGGUGAGUAACACGUGAGUAACCUGCCCUUGACUUUGGGAUAACUUCAGGAAACUGGGGCUAAUACCGGAUAGGAGCUCCUGCUGCAUGGUGGGGGUUGGAAAGUUUCGGCGGUUGGGGAUGGACUCGCGGCUUAUCAGCUUGUUGGUGGGGUAGUGGCUUACCAAGGCUUUGACGGGUAGCCGGCCUGAGAGGGUGACCGGGCACAGGGGGGAGUGGGUGCCGGCCCGGCCCCCGGGGGGGGGAGGAGGGGGGGAUUUUGCAACAAGGGGGGGAGGCUGGAUGCAGCACCCCCGUGGGGGGGAGGGGGCCUUUGGGUUGUUAACCCGUUUGCCCCGGUGACGAAGGGGGGGGGAGGGAAGGGGAUAGAAAACCCCCGGCAAACUAGGUC